CGCGGGGUGGAGCAGUCUGGUAGCUCAUCAGGCUCAUAACCUGAAGGUCAGCCGUUCAAAUCGGCUCCCCGCAACCA
rnacentral:tRNA from 1 species